CAGGCCCAUUGCUGCAAGCACAGGCCACAGGCCCCACACCCGAGGGCUAUCCUUGCCCCUGUCUCCGUCUGCUUCGGGCUGGACCUGCCCCUGGCCUGCUGCUCUCUCCCACAGCAAACCUUCAGGGAAAGGAUAUGCCUCUCCUAUGGGGACAAGGUGAGCAGCUCUCUGAUGAGGGUCCAUGACCUGCUGCAGAGGAAGAUCCGAGAAGCUGUCCUAGUCUUGUGACCUCCUUUAGUGGAGAAGACCAGGGGGAAGGCAGGCUGUCAGCGGAGGACAUGUCAUCUCUCAUCAAUAAUGAAGAUCCCAGCGCCCUGCUCCCACAGCCUCCUGCAUAAUUCACCAGGAGGACAAAAGCCUGGGGGCCCGGUCCCCCUAAUCUCCUCCUUUUGUCAUUAUCCUCGUUGCCGGUGGUGUCAGGAGAGAUCUGCUGAGAACCAUGGCACAAGUUCCCCACCCCUGGUGGCAGGAAGUGGCCUUGACACAAUGGACCUGUUGCACUUCCGCAGGAGGACACCUCAGACCCCAGCACCUCCUCCAGAAAAGCAAUUAGACUCCUGUUCACCGGAGUGGAGUGUGUGGCUAUAAUCUGUCGCCUGCCCGUCUUAUUCCACCGCUCUGCCCCACUUCUCUCCUGCUUUGCUCAGGCUGGGACUGGAGUGACUCUGGGUGGGGCUGGACCAUCCAGCCCAGGCAAUGGCUCGAUGACUGCAGCUGCAUGAGUGGCCUCAGGUGAGGAGAAGAGAACCUCCGAGCUGGGCACAGUUGGAUUACAGAAUAUGCAGAACCACUCCUAAGACACCUCUGUGCUGAAGAUCUUUGGCCAGCAUUUCUCAGAGAACAUCCCAUGAACAUCUCCUCGGGGUCGUCAGGCUGCAGGGACUCAGACGAGCUGCUGACCUCGGUUAUAGCCACCAGACCUGUUACCCUGGCUUCCCAUCGCGGCCCCCGGACUCCAUCCACCUUAGAAGAAAAUCUUUGGGGCUGGAAACCCUGCCAUCAGCUGCCAUCCCUCCAGCUGUUCCUUUAUUCCCCGAUGCCAGAAAAGCCCUGAAAGUGCUGCUGGAGCCAAAAUUCUGAGGACAUGAAGAAGCAGGUUAAUUUUAGGGCCCACAGCAAUGAGCAGGAGUCCUCUCUGUGGGUUGGUUGGAUAAAUGAGUUAAUUUUGUCCAAGUGCCAGAUGUCUUGGGGACUUUGGUGCUGAGUGUGUACAUACGUGUUGGGGGGAAGCAGGUCCCACAUGGGAAGUGCUCUGGGGCCCGGGGGGAGCCUGGGAGUGCAGUGUACUCAGCACUGCAAUUAAUGGUGCUAAUAAUGGUGCUAAUAAUGGUUGGUUGGUCAGUCCCAGCGAGGGCGCUUUGGGAGUGGGACCAGCAUGCCCUAGAAAAUCAUGCCAGCAGCUGUGGUUGUGGGAGGGGUGGUGCAGGGCCCUGGGGGUCUCACUCCAGCCCAGGGCACCAGAGGCUGGAGAUAAAGUUACCGUAGUACACAAGGCAGAGCCUGCGGGUGGAUGUUGGUACGAUAUUAACAACUAAGCUAAAAGGCGCCUGUGGCAUCCCUGUGCGGUUCGGUGAGUUUCUUAAACUAGACGCAGCCCUGUCACCAGCACCCACACUGAGACAAUCACUGGGAACCCAAAGCGCCCCCUGGUGUCCCCUCCCAGGGGACUGUUCUGUCUUCGUGGGGUCACACACCAGUCCUCUGCCCCAGCCCCUUUCUGCCCUGUGGAGUGCAUCAUGGUUACAGCUGCUUGUUCCUUCCCUCUGCUGGACAGGCAGAGCCCUCCUCUGCAGAGCCAGCGGAGCCGUCCUUGGGGUCUUUCUGUUUGCAGAGCACUGGGAGGAGCUGAGCUUGUUCCGGAGUCACAUGUUGAUGUCCUAACUCUCAGGACCUAGGAAUGGGACCCUCUCAGGAAGGAGUGGAGGGGGAGAGGUCAGGAGGGGAGACAGGAGGGGACCCAGAAAAGGCGGCUUCCUCGCGAUGAAUGCCUCAGCAUCAGAGGGACAUCCCGGAAAGAGUGCCACAUGCGGGUUUAAAGGUGGAAACCAUUCAUAGCUGGGGGGCUAAGCCCCUGUGAGUGGCUGUAUGUGUGACACAAAUCUCCACUCUUCAAGUCUCCAGUCACUGGUACUUUCUCAUCACAGCCAUACAAAUGAGUCCCUGUGUGUUGUAUCCGUGGCCCCACAUCACUCCGCUGUAUAUGCCAGGGACACUGGGCCCUCUCAUCUGCCCUCAGGCCUUGUCAAACAGCCUGGUGCAGUGUAAACAGCUGUUUCACCCAGAGUUUCCGCUCAGCACAGAGGCUGGGGCCGGGGGAGCUGCUGGGAUGUUCCCUGGGCCUCCUGGGGGGCAGAGCCACCCUGGUUACCCUAGAGGGAGGGUCGCUGGGCAGCUCUCAUUCUACCUGUUCCCCACAGGACUUCCUCCUCUGUCUCCUCCACAUACCUGCCCUUGCUCAGGCCUGACCCACCCCGGUCCCACCCCUUGCCUCAGGGGUUUGGGAAUAGUGCUCAGGGUCACAGUAGCUCAAUCAGUUCUCCGAAUUCCCUGGGCUUCCCUCCCUCCUGCAGAACUGGAGCAGGGUGGCCCCUGAGGACACAAUUGUGCCACCCUGGCAGCUGAGUGAGCCUGGUGGUCACAGCAGACCAGGGGAGCUAUUGGGACACCUUCCUGACCUUCAUCCUUUGUUGGCAGCUAGAGAAGGGAGGGAGCACCCAUACUGGGUGGAGUUGAAAUCUAGGAGGUGACGAGACCACGAGGGUGGCGGGUCUCUGCUGAGUUUGCCGGUGUGCUCUGUGGGCCACGCAGUGGUGGCGGAGGAGCCAGAGCAGAGGCUGAGAGGAAGCAUGGCUGCAACAGAGCGGAGUCUGGGGAUGAGAGGGGAAUGGCAGGGGUGGCCAGGGGCAGCUUUGUCCCCUCUUCCACACCUCACCAGAUGGAAUAGCUUGUCUCUCCUCCUCACACAGGGCUGUCCCCUGGUCUGUCACUGGGCUGUGCUGCAUGGAAACUGCCCUAAGCUCAGUGACUGGCACCAGUGAGCAUUCAUUUCUCCCUCAUGGCCCACAGGGCAUCAUGGACCUGUGCCCAGUGGAGCUGCAAGUUGAGGGCUGGUCCCUGCUGGGUGUGGGGCAGUGGCAGAGGCAUUGGCUUUGCAUGGGCCACAGCAGCUCACGGAGCCAUGCCCACCAUCAGCAGGGAUAUGGGGGUCAUGCACCAUCUUGGGGACAAUUACCCUUCACUUACAGGAUGGUGGGGAGGCAGUACAGUAAUCCAAUCAAUCACGCUCAGAGGAAGGACUUUUUCCCUAAGUAGGGGACUCUCUGCAGCCUGGUCUCGGGGACCUUAUCCUCACCUUGAAUGUCCCCUAGCCAUCUUGCAGCAGCCAGCCAGGAACACAGCCACCUGGCCAGGGCUCCCUGGUUCUCAUUGCCUCCCCCUGCUGGCCAAGGGUGGCUUGGCAAGGCCUCGCCUGGACAACAGGUAGACCUCAUUCAUUCCUGCAACCAGUGGUUAGGAGACUUAACAACGAACAAAAAUAAAACCCACCUGGAGUCAAGUGCUGCCUCUGCCCCUUAGCAGCUGUGCCACCUUGAGCAAACUCUUGCCUCUUUAAGUCUCAAGUUUACUGUGUCACAUGGGUGCAUGACCAGCACUUUUCUCUUGGAGUUCUAGUGAGGACAAGGAAGAAGGUGAAAGCAUGACCUUACCUCAUCCUAAGAGCUCACGGCAUGCGUAUUUGCUGUCACUGUGCCAGGGCAUUACUAGGCCUGGGGACAUGGUGGUUUUGUCCUCAUGCCAUGGCCUGCUGUGCUCUAAGCCCAGGGGAGGGUACAUUCUGGGUCACCACCACUCAGCCUCUAAGCUGGCUGGUUGCCGGGGUGGCCAAACCCCUCCCACCCUCUUGGCCCAGGACGCCGACCCCAGAGCACAUGGUCUGGGUUGGCCACAUGUCAAAGCCUGGUGUGGGUCCUGGCCACUUCCCAAAGACAGAGCCUCCAAUGCCAAGUUCCCUCCACGGGGACUGACCAUCUGGUCCCAGCUGAAGAGAAAGGGGACCUUGGGGCUGCCUGGCACCCACCUGGGCGUGGUGGGCAACAUAGCUGGACCCCAAAGCUGGCAGCGAAUGCUUGUGCUUGGCCUGGUGCAGCUCAGACCUGCUGGCGCACUGCAGUAAAACCGCCUUCGACUUAAUAUAUGCUAAUUAGAUUUUAAUGGGAUUCAGAUUUCCGACAGCAGUGCAGUGUUAGCCAUGGUAAGUUAUAAUCAUAUCUAAUUGGUAAUUCUAACAUAACAAAUUUCUUGGAUAAAUUAUUCUUAGUUAAUAGUCCCCUAGGAAUAACCUCAAUGCACACACACUCACACACACACAGACACACUCACACACAUAUCUAUUUUAGGGGAAAUUGAGAAAAAAAGAACAAGGAAGAAUCAGGCUCACAGGGAGCAAAGUUGUUCCUGAAAACUUGUGUCCUUCAGGGCCUCCCCCAGGAGCCCCAGACUGAGCCCCCAGCCCCCGUAGAAGGGUGCCCAGAAUGCCAGGGCCCAGUGGUAUACGGGAGAGGAGCUCAGGCAGCUGUCUUUGAGGUGAUCCCAGCCCACAUAGUGGCAGCAGCAGGAGCCUAUAGGCUCAGUCCUCAGCCCCCCUAAGAGGCCUGUCCCUGGGGUGCCACACUGGCCAAAGUACUGGCCUCUCUGUGAAAGACUGGUGAGUGUAAUCCUAGAGCUGAACUCGGAAGGACUAAUGGAGUUGGCUUCUUCCUGAAUUUGGAAGUGACCCUGCAGGCUUAUUGUUGUGUGUCUCCCAGGGAGGCAGGUCAGCACUCUUGACCCAGGCUGGCCUCCAUCCUGGUGCAUCAAGCUUAGGUACAGAUACCAGCUCAGGGACUCACUUGCUGUGUGACCGUGGGAAACUUAUUCAACCUCUCUGAGCUUAUGUUUACUUAUUUGUAAAGUGGAGAUAAUGCUUCUGAAAGGGUGUUGUGAAGAUCAAAACAGAUGACACAUGCCAAGUCCUUAGCACGGUGCCUGGCAUAUGGAAUGGUAAAUCCCUAAAUAAAUUCUGGUACUUACGUAAAUUCUUUUUUGUUUUGGAUGGUGGUGAUGGUACUGGGGAUCGAACCCAGGCCCUUUGCAAAGUUACAUCCCCAGCCUCAUUAUCCCCCAGCCCCUUUGCAACACGGUCUUGUUAAGUUGCUAAAUUGCCCAGACUGGAGAUGUUGAUGUUUAACUUGUCACAGUCUGUGAGUUGUGUCGCUAUCCCCAUUUUACAGUUGGGAAAGCUGAGUUCAGAGACGGGGUCAGGGUCCGGGUUUGAGUAGGAUUUGAGCACAGGGCUGAUGUGAUAUUCUCCCUAGUCACCCCCUUCUUGCAGUUCUCACCUUAAAAAAGAAAUAAAACCCCUAAGUGAGGGGUGGCCUAAAGCCCCGACAUCUGUUUCCCAUGGACUGGAGGCCGCAUGCCCUGACCAAGGCACAGCAGAUCCCACCAUCUUGGGGGCUGGCUUCCCCAGCAGCUGUCUUCUCUGUGUUCCCCACAGCAGGGACCCCUGGAGCCUUGCAGAAGGCCACCAAUCCCAUGCAUGAGGUGUCACCUCCCAGAGCCCAUGUAAUCACCUCCCAGGGUCCCACUUUCUAACGCCAUCACCUUGGGGUUUAGCAUUUCAACAUACAAACUGGGCAGGACACAGACAGCCAGACCCUAGUGCUGGCCACUGGGUAGUGGCAGCCCUGUCCCUCUACCCUCUCCCCCUCUGCAAGGUCACAGAGGAGGCCAUGGGGGUUGGAGAAGCCAAGUUUCAGUCUAGCAGAUGAUGUCCUUGUCCCAUCCCACUCUCAGAGCCCUUCAGGGUCACCUGCAGUGUGUGAGUUUAUGAGCUCUCCUAUGUACUGGCAAUUUCUCUGGCUGCAGGGACUCUGUUCAGGCCCCAGUGGCUGCCCAGCUGUGUGGCCUUAAGGAUCCACCAUAGGGGUGAGCUACUCUGGCUGCUUGCUGAUGGUGGCACAACAUGAAGUGUGUGUGAUUCAGGAUCCCAGGGCCCCAUUGAGACAAAGCCCCAGUUGUCCAGGCUGGUGACUCACUGGUUAAUAUAUGCCAUAGGGGCUCCUCCUCCUUCCUGCUCCUUGACCUGUCCUGUUGUACUUCCUGAAUCUUAUCCCAAAUAAACCAUUU